rnacentral:rRNA from 1 species
CGGCCCGCACAAGCAGCGGAGCGUGUGGUUUAAUUCGAUGUUACACGAAGAACCUUACCAGGGUUUGACAUGCAAGUGGUAGGAAGCCGAAAGGUGACCGACCCUUCGGGGAGCUUGCACAGGUGCUGCAUGGCUGUCGUCAGCUCGUGUCGUGAGAUGUUCGGUUAAGUCCGCUAACGAGCGCAACCCUCGCUGUGUGUUAUAUGUGUCACACGGGACUGCCGGUCUUAAGCCGGAGGAAGGUGGGGAUGAUGUCAAGUCAGCAUGGCCUUUAUAUCCUGGGCUACACACACGCUACAAUGGCCAACACAAUAGGUUGCUAAGCCGCGAGGUGGACGCCAAUCCAUAAAGUUGGUCUCAGUUCAGAUUGUAGGCUGCAACCCGCCUGCAUGAAGAUGGAGUUGCUAGUAACCGCAGGUCAGCUAUACUGCGGUGAAUACGUUCCCGGGGCUU